UACGUAGGUGGCAAGCGUUGUCCGGAUUUACUGGGUGUAAAGGGCGUGCAGCCGGGAGUGCAAGUCAGAUGUGAAAUCCCGCGGCUCAACCGCGGAACUGCAUUUGAAACUGUGCUUCUUGAGUGCUGGAGAGGCAGACGGAAUUCCUAGUGUAGCGGUGAAAUGCGUAGAUAUUAGGAGGAACACCAGUGGCGAAGGCGGUCUGCUGGACAGUAACUGACGGUGAGGCGCGAAAGCGUGGGGAGCAAACAGG
rnacentral:rRNA from 1 species